GAGCAGGUUUACCAACACCUGCUCCCAGCGAAGCGAAGUGCUUACGCACUGAGCGAGCCGGCGCCUCCCGCUGCAGGCUUGAAGCCCCUGUCUACUCCGUACCCUUGGGCUUCAAGCUUCAAGCCCACUGUGCUAGUGGUGGGUAGUGCUUUGUCCCCCUGCAAAUCUCUGGUUAGGUCUCAAAUGCAUAGGCCCCACUACUUUGAGGGAUGCCAUAAGUGGGGUGGGCUCCAAGGAACUGACUGGUCUCUAAGUCCCUCAACGAACAACAACCUAUCCUCAUCCAUACCUUGUGACCAUAA
rnacentral:lncRNA from 1 species